rnacentral:rRNA from 1 species
UACGUAGGGUGCGAGCGUUGUCCGGAAUUAUUGGGCGUAAAGAGCGUGUAGGCGGCCAGAUAAGUCCGCUGUGAAAUCUCGAGGCUCAACUUCGAGCUUUCGGUGGAAACUAUCUGGCUAGAGUCCGGAAGAGGAGAAUGGAAUUCCUGGUGUAGCGGUGAAAUGCGCAGAUAUCAGGAGGAACACCGGUGGCGAAGGCGGGAUCCUGGGCCAGUACUGACGCUGAGGAGCGAAAGCGUGGGGAGCAAACAGG